GACGUAGGGUGCGAGCGUUGUCCGGAUUUAUUGGGCGUAAAGAGCUCGUAGGCGGCUCGUCGCGUCGACCGUGAAAACCCGCAGCUUAACUGCGGGCUUGCGGUUGAUACGGGCGGGCUAGAGUUCGGUAGGGGAGACUGGAAUUCCUGGUGUAGCGGUGAAAUGCGCAGAUAUCAGGAGGAACACCGGUGGCGAAGGCGGCAUCCUGGACCGAGAUUGACGCUGAGGAGCGAAAGCUAGGGGAGCAAACGGG
rnacentral:rRNA from 1 species